GGAAUCAAUGGGGAUCAAUGGGGAUCAAUGGGAAUCAAUGGGAAUCAAUGGGAAUCAAUGGGGAUCAAUGGGGAUCAAUGGCACUCACCCGGCCAUGGGGGACGGAGCCAAUCACAUGGGGCAGAUGUGACAGCUUUGGGAGGAAAAAAAGGAGAAAAUUUUGUACAAAAAAAUCUCGACAAGUCUGAGUCAUUCCAUGGGCACAGACGCCUGAAAAUUCCCUAAAAAACCCCAAAAAAUUCCCUAAAAAAAUUCCCUAAAAAAUUCCCUAAAAAACCCCAAAAAAUUCCCAAAAAUUCCCCAAAAAAUCCUGGAAAAUUUGGGAAUUUUUCGCUUCCACACUGUGGAUUUUGUGCCUAAAGAAAUGUUGAAUUUUGGUUUUUUUUUUUGGAGAAAUAAAGUGAAAAAAUGGGAAAAAAAUGGGGGGAAAAUGAGAAUUUUUGGAGGGAUAAAGGGGAAAUAAUUGGAAUAAAAUUGGGAAAAAAUUGGGGGAAAAAUGGGAAAAAUUUGGGAUAAAAUGGGGGAAAAUUUGGGGAAAAAUUUGGGAUAAAAUGGGGAAAAUUGGGGGAAAAUUUGGGGAAAAAUGGGAAAAAAUUGGAAUAAAAAUGGGGGGAAAUUGGGGAAAAAAUGAGAAAAAAAUUGGGAAAAAAUUUGGAGUAAAAAUGCAAAAAAUGCAGAAAAAUUUGAAUAAAAUUGGGGGAAAAUUUGGGAAAAAAUUGGAAUAAAAAUGGGAAAAAUUGGGGGAAAUGGAAUAAAAAUUGAGGAAAAAAUUGGGGAAAAAUUGGAAUAAAAUUGGGGAAAAAUUGGGGAAAAAAUGGAAUAAAAAUGGGGGAAAAUUGGGAAAAAUUUGGAAUAAAAAUUGGGGAAAAUUGGGAAAAAAAGAAUAAAAAUGGAGGAAAAAUUAGAAAAAAUUGGGGAAAAAUUGGAAGAAAAAUGGGGAAAAUAUUGGAAUAAAAAUGGAAAAAAUUGGGGGAAAAUUGGUGAAAAUAAUGGGAAAAAUUGGUGAAGAAAAAGAGGAAAAAAGAGGGGAAAUUGGGGGAAAAAUGGGAAUAAAAAUUGAAAAAAAUUGGAAUGAAAAUGGGGGAAAAUUGGGGAAAAUUUGGGAUAAAAUGGGGGAAAAAAUUGGGAUAAAAAGGGAAAAAAUAGGAGAAAAAAUGGGAAUAUUUGGAGAAAAUUAGGGAAAAUUGUGGGAAAAAAAAUCAGAAAAAAUUGGGAAAAUUAAGUAAAAAAUGGGAAAAAAAAGGGGAAAAAAUAAAAUUAAAAAAAAAAAAAGGAAAAAACAGAAAAAAAUAAAUAAAAAUGGACCAGUGCCUCGAUUUUUUCCAUGGAUUUUUGGUGUUUCUCUGAGUUGUGGAAUUGUCCGGCCGGGCUGGGAAAGUUCUGGAAGUUCUUUGUGUUUCAUUCUUGUAGCAAUAAAUGUGAUUUUCUA